rnacentral:rRNA from 1 species
CUUAGUGGCGGACGGGUGAGUAACGCGUGGGUAACCUGCCUUGCACUGGGGGAUAACACUUAGAAAUAGGUGCUAAUACCGCACAAGCGCACGGUCCUGCAUGGGACAGUGUGAAAAACUCCGGUGGUGCAAGAUGGACCCGCGUCUGAUUAGCUGGUUGGCGGGGUAAAGGCCCACCAAGGCGACGAUCAGUAGCCGGCCUGAGAGGGUGGACGGCCACAUUGGGACUGAGACACGGCCCAAACUCCUACGGAAGGCAGCAG